AUUGAACGCUGGCGGCAUGCCUUACACAUGCAAGUCGAACGGCAGCAUGAUCUAGCUUGCUCGAUUGAUGGCGAGUGGCGAACGGGUGAGUAAUACAUCGGAACGUGCCCUGUAGUGGGGGAUAACUAGUCGAAAGAUUAGCUAAUACCGCAUACGACCUGAGGGUGAAAGUGGGGGACCGCAAGGCCUCAUGCUAUAGGAGCGGCCGAUGUCUGAUUAGCUAGUUGGUGAGGUAAAGGCUCACCAAGGCGACGAUCAGUAGCUGGUCUGAGAGGACGAUCAGCCAAACUGGGACUGAGACACGGCCCAGACUCCUACGGGAGGCAGCAGUGGGGAAUUUUGGACAAUGGGCGAAAGCCUGAUCCAGCAAUGCCGCGUGUGUGAAGAAGGCCUUCGGGUUGUAAAGCACUUUUGUCCGGAAAGAAAUGGCUCUGGUUAAUACCUGGGGUCGAUGACGGUACCGGAAGAAUAAGGACCGGCUAACUACGUG
rnacentral:rRNA from 1 species